CGCGCCCUUAGCUCAGCUGGAUAGAGCAUCGGACUUCUAAUCCGACGGUCGCAGGUUCGAAUCCUGCAGGGCGCGCCC
rnacentral:tRNA from 1 species